AGCAAAAGCACAGGGGGGACAUGGGGUCACAUCACGUGGGGUUGCAGGAGCCGCAAGGAGAUGGCGAUCAGGGACAGAGAGGCUCUGGGGAGAACAAAACCUGGCGCCAUCAAGCAAUGAGCAUAUAUUUUAGAAGUGGAUGCUGUCACACAGAAGUAUUAUGAAAUCUAACAUCCUAUUGUGUGUUGCAUAAAAUAGUGAAAACGAAAUGUCUAUUUUUGUUAAAAAUCACUAUGUAAGCACAUGGCUGGCCAACAGAUUCAAAAAAAUCUGGUCCCCGUGGCUUGACCUAAACCCUGAAACAACAGAGGUGGUCUAAGGCCCUCAGACAAUGAGACACAUGAAUCUAAAUUAAUGGAAAUGUAGUCCUAGUAAUAAUAGUACAGAAUAUGGCAAACACUGUGUCACUGUAUAUAAACUUGAUAUGCGAUUCAUUUAUUAUGUAAUCCCAUCGCUGUUUCCUUCUCUCUUCUCAUCUUCUUCUUUUCCUUCCUCUCUUAAGUUAAACAGAAAAACAAUGAAAAGAUACUUUAAAAAAUAAAAUAAAAAAUCACUAUGUAAUGUUGUGUGAAGCAGGGUAGUUGGCAGAGAAAGCAUUUUCAUCUAGUUGGGAAGUACUUUUUGUGUUUGCAUGUGUGUUUGCUGGUACUUGCAAGUCUCUGCUUGGUGAAAAUGCUGGUAUUUUUAUACUUUGUGUAAAAUUUUAAACAAAAAAUUGGUUAGUCGCAGAAUUAAUAAUCUUCAUCCAAACAUUAAAAGGUAAUUUUUUUUUACAUGUACAGCACUGUCUGUUAGAACUCAAUAUUGAUUUACAGUGUACAGAUCAGAGCAUCAGAGAUACAGAGCAUCCAUAUGGAAGCGAAAUUAGGCCAAUAGUUUUUGGGGGGUGCCGAUUUGCUUCCAAAGCAUGCCUUUAUAAGCUGCACUUUGCAGUUGGUCUGUACCUCAGUGCUAAACACUAUCUUACAAGGAGACCCUGUUUCAUUUGGGGGAGGAAAUAUGUUAGGUACCCUGCAGGGAAUUAAAUUGCUAUUUUUCCCCCAAGUCCCUGCUCCGUUUAGGAAAAAAAAACACUGGCCUGAGGUAAAAAACUAACACAGGGCUACAAGGCCACCUAACUUACCUUUUCCAAAAGCCCCUCAUAUUAAUAUAAAAAUAGGCCAUGCUUAUUUGCUAGAUGUAAUUCCUUUGCAGUAAACUUUUCUGAGUCUUCAGAAAUAUAAAAAAUAGAUCAGCAGUGUUUCACUAAGUAUGUUUAAUAGUUGUAUGUUUAGAUUCUGUUUGCUAAUUGGGUUGUUAGGUGUCUGACCUGACUGUUGGUCAUUUGUCCACAUUCCGCUGUGAUUGAUGGCAUUCUUUUAUGUGUGUUAAUGUUGAAGAGUCUGCAGUGUCUUUUUCAGGCCCGGCCAGCGGACAUGUUUUCCUUCUGAGAGACAGAUACUGUAAACAUCCUACACUCUCAGCUGUGGAAAUACAAAGCUGGGGGAAGGCUGUUUACUCUCUCUGCCUCUAACAGCAGCUGAAAGGAAGUCAAGUAGGUGCCUUGGAAGAGUAUUUUAUCGGCUUCCCUUUCUCUCACAAACCUGAGGUUUUACAGCCAAUGAUUUGUACUUCUGAGAAGUGAUUUUUUCGAGACCUUUAAAAAGGCAAUAAACAUAUAUUGCACCAUUAA